GGGCCCGCACAAGCAGCGGAGCAUGUGGUUUAAUUCGAAGCAACGCGAAGAACCUUACCAGGGCUUGACAUCCCUUGACGCAUGUAGAAAUACAUGUUCCCUUCGGGGCAAGGAGACAGGUGGUGCAUGGUUGUCGUCAGCUCGUGUCGUGAGAUGUUGGGUUAAGUCCCGCAACGAGCGCAACCCUUAUGGUUAGUUGCCAGCGCGUAAAGGUGGGAACUCUAAUCAGACUGCCGGGGAUAACUCGGAGGAAGGUGGGGACGACGUCAAAUCAUCAUGCCCCUUAUGUCCUGGGCUACACACGUGCUACAAUGGCCGGUACAGAGGGCAGCGAAAGCGAGAGCUGAAGCGAAUCCCAAAAAGCCGGUCCCAGUUCGGAUCGUGGGCUGCAACCCGCCCACGUGAAGCCGGAGUUGCUAGUAAUCGCGAAUCAGCAUGUCGCGGUGAAUGCGUUCCCGGGCCUU
rnacentral:rRNA from 1 species